rnacentral:lncRNA from 1 species
AUGUUCAUCUAUCGCUGACUAUUUUCAACUAACCAUAAAGACAUCGGAACAUUAUAUUUACUGUUUGGUACCUGAGCUGGGAUAGUAAAUACUGCCUUAAGUCUUCUAAUCCAAGCAGAACUGGGUCAACCAGGGACCCUAUCAGGAGAUGAUCAGACUUAUAAUGUUAUUGUCACUGCCCUCACAUUUGUUAUAAUUUUCUUCAUAGUUAUGCCCAUUAUAAUCGGGGGUUUCAGCAAACUGACAAGUCCCCCUAAUAAUUGGUGUGCCAGACAUGGCAUUUCCCUGGAUAAAUAAUACAAGCUUCCAACUUCUUCUCCCAUCUUUUCUACUCCUACUUGCAUCCUCAAUAGUCAGGUGCCAAGACCGGCUGAACAGUCUACCCUCCCUUAGCAGAGAACCUGGAACAUGCAGGAGCCUCUGUUGACUUGAGCAUUUUUUCACUCCACUUAGCAGGUGUAUCCUCUAUUCUAGGCACUAUUAAUUUCAUUACCACAAUUGUUAACAUAAAACCCCCAGGUAUAUCUCAACAUCAAACACCCCUCUUCAUUUGAUCAAUCCUUAUCACAGCAGCCCUAUUACUUUUAUCUCUUCCAGUUCUAGCUGCUGGCAUCACCAUGCUAUUAACUGACCACAACCUCCACUUUCUUUGACCCUGCUGGUGGAGGUGACACUCUCUUAUAUCAAUACUUGUUCUGAUUUUUUGGUCAUCCAGAAGUCUAUAUCCUUAUUCUACAAGGUUUUGGAAUAAUUUCCCAUAUUGUAACCUAUUACUCCGGGAAAAAAGAACUGUUAGGUUAUAUGGGCAUAGUAUGAGCCAUAAUGUCCAUUGCGUUCCUAGGGUUUAUCGUCUGAGCCUAUCACAUAUUUCCAGUGUGCAUAGAUGUUGAUACCCAAGCGUACUUCACAUCUGCCACCAUAAUUAUUGCUAUUCCCACUGGUGUCAAAGUCUUUAGCUCAUUAGCCACACUGCAUGGUGGUAACAUCAAAUGAUCCCCUGCAAUGCUCUGAGCACUAGGGUUGAUUUUCCUCUAUACAGUAAGAGGGUUAACUGUUACUGUAUUAGCCAACUCAUCAUUAGACAUUUUUCUAUACAAUAUAUUAUGUUGUAGCACAUUUCCACUACGUUUUAUCAAUAGGAGCAGUAUUCGCCAUUAUAGGAGGCUUCGUCCAUGGAUUCCCUGUUUUCAGGUUAUACACUUAACCAAAACUGAACCAAAAUUCACUUUACUAUUAUAUUUGUAGGCGUAAACCUAACUUUCUUCCCACAACACUUCCUCAGACUGUCGGGAAUGUCUCAAUGAUAAGCUGAUUACCCUGAUGCAUAUACUGCAUGAGAUACUAUCUCAUCCAUAGGCUCAUUUAUCUCACUAACAGCAGUAAUACUAAUAAUCUUCAUAAUCUGAGAAGCCUUUGCAUCAAAAUGAGAAGUACUAAUAGACGAACUCCCAACUACAAACUAAGAGUGACUUUAUGGCUGCCCACCACCCUAUCAUACAUUUGAAGAGCCAGCCUGCAUAAAAGCC